GGUUAUUUAGUUUAUAUAAAAACAAAUGUUUUGAAAGCAUUAAAAAAGUAAAGUACUUAAUAAUCG
rnacentral:tRNA from 1 species